ACUUGUAGCUUAAUUGGAUAGAGCACCGCACUACGGAUGCGGAGGUUGCAGGUUCGAGUCCUGCCAGGUU
rnacentral:tRNA from 1 species